rnacentral:tRNA from 1 species
GGGCAUGUGGCCCAUUGGUUUGGGCAUGGGCUGGGAAACCAGAUGGCCUGGGUUCGAAUCCCAGCUUGGUGA